rnacentral:ncRNA from 1 species
AAUGUUAUUAUUUUUUCUUAGGUUAUAUAAUAUAUUUUAUUUAAGUAUGCGUAUUUUCUUGUUUUUUUUAUUUAUAUAUCAUGUUUUAAAAAAAUUUGAUAUUUUUGAUUUUAUAGUAAAUAUAAUUAUAAAUUUAAAUUAAUUAAUGUUAGAUUUAGAAAUAAAAAUUAUUAAUUAACAUAUUUUGUGCCAGCAGUUGCGGUUAUACAAUUAAUUAAAAGAAAAUUUUGUGAAUUUAUAUCGUUAUUAUAUAAUUAAAUAAAAAUUUAAAAUUUAGGGGGUAAAAUUUUAAUUUUUUAGUUUUAUUUGUUUUUAAUUGAUAUGAAAUUAUGUUUUCUUAAAAACCAGGAUUAGAUACCCUGUUAUUGUAAUGUAAAAUUAAUUUGAAGUAGUAAUAGUUAUAGUCUUAAAACUUAAUAAAUUUGGCAGUAUUUUAUCUUAUCAGAGGAAUCUGUAUAGUAAUUGAUAGUCCACGACUUAAAUUUACUUUUAAUUAAAUAAUUUGUAUACCGUUGUCAUGAAUGUAUUUUAAGAUUUAAUUUUCUGGUGCUUUAUGAGUUUAAUGUUAAAUCAAGGUGCAGUAUUUAAAAGAAAAAUAUGGAUUACAUAUUUAAUGAUUUGUAGAUAAAUGAUUUUUUAAUCUUUUGAAAUUGGAUUUGAUAGUAAUUUUAUUAGAGUAAUAAAUUGAAAAAAGAUUCUGAAAUAUGUACACAUUGCCCGUCGCUCUUAUUUAAUGUAAGAUAAGUCGUAACAUAGUAGAUGUACCGGAAGGUGUAUCUAGAUAGA